rnacentral:rRNA from 1 species
AUUGAACGCUGGCGGCAGGCCUAACACAUGCAAGUCGAACGAGCGGCGGACGGGUGAGUAAUGUCUGGGGAUCUGCCCGAUGGAGGGGGAUAACUACUGGAAACGGUAGCUAAUACCGCAUACCAUCAGAUGUGCCCAUAUGGGAUUAGCUGGUGGGUGGGGUAACUGCUCACCUAGGCGACGAUCUCUAGCUGGUCUGAGAGGAUGAUCGGCCACACUGGGACUGAGACACGGUCCAGACUCCUACGGGAGGGAGCAGUGGGGAAUAUUGCACAAUGGGCGCAAGCCUGAUGCAGCCAUGCCGCGUGUAUGAAGAAGGCCUUCGGGUUGUAAAGUACUUUCAGCGGGGAGGCGUUACCCGCAGAAGAAGCACCGGCUAACUCCGUGCCAGCAGCCGCGGUAAUAC